UACGUAGGUGACCAGCGUUGUCCGGAUUUACUGGGCGUAAAGAGCGCGCAGGCGGUCGUUCAAGUCGAGUGUGAAAGCCCCCGGCUCAACUGGGGAGGGUCAUUCGAUACUGAUCGACUUGAAGGCAGGAGAGGGAAGUGGAAUUCCCGGUGUAGUGGUGAAAUGCGUAGAUAUCGGGAGGAACACCAGUGGCGAAGGCGGCUCACUGGCCCGUAACUGACGCUGAGGUGCGAAAGCGUGGGGAGCAAACAGG
rnacentral:rRNA from 1 species